UACGAAGGGGGCUAGCGUUGUUCGGAAUCACUGGGCGUAAAGCGGGUGCAGGCGGCUUGCAUAGUUAGAAGUGAAAGCCCCGGGCUCAACCUGGGAAUUGCUUUUAAUACUGGCAAGCUAGAGUGUGGGAGAGGAGUAUGGAAUACCGAGUGUAGAGGUGAAAUUCGUAGAUAUUCGGUGGAACACCAGUGGCGAAGGCGAUACUCUGGAACACAACUGACGCUCAGACCCGAAAGUGUGGGGAGCAAACAGG
rnacentral:rRNA from 1 species